CAGUAGACAUGUUAGAAACAUUUUUUUUGCACAAGUCCACACAAGUAAAGUAAAUAAACAAAAAAUAACCUGGUGACAUUGUUAGUCCCCAAGAGGUCAAAAGGUUAGUCCCCAAGAGGUCAAAAGGUUAGUCCCCAAGAGGUCAAAAGGUUAGUCCCCAAGAGGUCAAAAGGUUAGUCCCCAUGAGGUCAAUAGGUUAGUCCCCAUGAGGUCAAUAGGUUAGUCCCCAUGAGGUCAAAAGGUUAGUCCCCAUGAGGUCAAAAGGUUAGUCCCCAUGAGGUCAAAAGGUUAGUCCCCAUGAGGUCAAAAGGUUAGUCCCCAUGAGGUCAAAAGGUUAGUCCCCAUGAGGUCAAAAGGUUAGUCCCCAUGAGGUCAAAAGGUUAGUCCCCAUGAGGUCAAAAGGUUAGUCCCCAUGAGGUCAAAAGGUUAGUCCCCAUGAGGUCAAAAGGUUAGUCCCCAUGAGGUCAAAAGGUUAGUCCCCAUGAGGUCAAAAGGUUAGUCCCCAUGAGGUCAAAAGGUUAGUCCCCAUGAGGUCAAAAGGUUAGUCCCCAUGAGGUCAAAAGGUUAGUCCCCAUGAGGUCAAAAGGUUAGUCCCCAUGAGGUCAAAAGGUUAGUCCCCAUGAGGUCAAAAGGUUAUUUCCAAGGAGGGGUUAAGGUUAGAAUUAGCCCUUUGGUUUAGGGUACGAGUACAGGUCAGUGGUAAAAUAGGAUUUUAAAUGUGACUGAAGUGUGUGUCCCAACAAGGCUGUACAAGGCGCUGUUGAUGUGCGAGU